ACGCUCGACACCUACGGGAGGCAGCAGUGGGGAAUAUUGCACAAUGGGGGAAACCCGUGAUGCAGCAACGCCGCGUGAAGGAAGACGGUUUCGGAUUGUAAACUUCUGUUCUUAGUGAAGAUAGUGACGGUAGCUAAGGAGCAAGCCACGGCUAACUACGUGCAAGCAGCCGCGGUAAUCUGAGCGGGCUGGCAAGGC
rnacentral:rRNA from 1 species